GGGGAAUCUUGCGCAAUGGGCGAAAGCCUGACGCAGCGACGCCGCGUGGGUGACGAAGGCCUUCGGGUUGUAAAGCCCUGUGGGGGGAGACGAACCGGGUCGUGGCUAACAUCCACGGUCCUUGACGGUAUCCCUUUAGCAAGCAUCGGCUAACUCUGUGCCAGCAGCCGCGGUAAGACAGAGGAUGCAAACGUUGCUCGGAAUUACUGGGCGUAAAGCGCGCGCAGGUGGUCCGGUAAGUCGGGUGUGAAAUCCCGGGGCUCAACCUCGGAAGUGCACUCGAUACUGCUAGACUUGAGUACUGGAGAGGAGAGCGGAAUUCCCGGUGUAGAGGUGAAAUUCGUAGAUAUCGGGAGGAACACCAGUGGCGAAGGCGGCUCUCUGGACAGAUACUGACACUGAGGCGCGAAAGCGUGGGAAGCAAAC
rnacentral:rRNA from 1 species